CGGAGGAUCCAAGCGUUUAGUCCGGAAUCAGUUGGGUUUAAAGGGUCCGUAGGCGGUUUUAUAAGUCAGUGGUGAAAUCUGGUCGCUCAACGAUCAAACGGCCAUUGAUACUGUAAGACUUGAAUUACUUGGAAGUAACUAGAAUAUGUAGUGUAGCGGUGAAAUGCUUAGAGAUUACAUGGAAUACCAAUUGCGAAGGCAGGUUACUACAAGUAUAUUGACGCUGAUGGACGAAAGCGUGGGGAGCGAACAGGAUUAGAUACCCUGGUAGUCCACGCCGUAAACGAUGGAUACUAGCUGUUUGGAGCAAUCUGAGUGGCUAAGCGAAAGUGAUAAGUAUCCCACCUGGGGAGUACGCUCGCAAGAGUG
rnacentral:rRNA from 1 species